CGUUAGCGGCAGGCUUAACACAUGCAAGUCGAGCGAGAAAGGGGCUUCGGCUCCGAGUAAAGCGGCGGACGGGUGCGUAACACGUGGAUAAUCUGCCUCGUGGCGGGGGACAACAGUCCGAAAGGACUGCUAAUACCGCAUGUCAGGUCGGAAACUCCGGUUUCUGACGAAAAAGAGGGGCGUCCGCAAGGAGCUCUCACCACGAGAUGAGUCCGCGUCCCAUCAGCUAGUUGGCGGUGUAAUGGACCACCAAGGCUUAGACGGGUAGCUGGUCUGAGAGGAUGACCAGCCACACUGGGACUGAGACACGGCCCAGACUCCUACGGGAGGCAGCAGUGGGGAAUAUUGGACAAUGGGCGAAAGCCUGAUCCAGCCAUGCCGCGUGAGUGAUGAAGGCCUUCGGGUCGUAAAGCUCUGUGGGGAGGGACGAAAAAGCGUGACCUAAUACGUCUCGCCUUGACGGUACCUCCUUAGCAAGCACCGGCUAACUCCGUGCCAGCAG
rnacentral:rRNA from 1 species